rnacentral:rRNA from 1 species
UCGGGAAUUUUGGGCAAUGGGCGAAAGCCUGACCCAGCAACGCCGCGUGAAGGAUGAAGUAUUUCGGUAUGUAAACUUCGAAAGAAUAGGAAGAAUAAAUGACGGUACUAUUUAUAAGGUCCGGCUAACUACGUGCCAGCAGCCGCGGUAAUACGUAGGGACCAAGCGUUGUUCGGAUUUACUGGGCGUAAAGGGCGCGUAGGCGGCAAUUCAAGUCAUCUGUGAAAUCUCCGGGCUUAACUCGGAACGGUUAGAUGAUACUGCUAUGCUAGAGUGCAGAAGGGGCAAUCGGAAUUCUUGGUGUAGCGGUGAAAUGCGUAGAUAUCAAGAGGAACACCUGAGGUGAAGACGGGUUGCUGGGCUGACACUGACGCUGAGGCGCGAAAGCCAGGGGAGCAAACGGGAUUAGAUACCCCCGUAGUCCCUGAGCGGGCUGGCAAGGCGCAU